AGCGCUCCGGGCGCUGGACCGUACUUGGGACUCUAGAGGGCUGCGUCCGGACAGAGAAGCUGGGUGGCGAUCUGUGGGUCACUCCUGGAGGUGUCUCUACCCGGAGCUGGAGAAAUGGGCUCCAAGGCCAGCUUCUCGGACGAGCGCCAGCCUGAGAUGGAAGUUUGCUAGCGCUCUAGACACCGCGCUGACCCGGAGCCGAAUCUUUAUCUUGGCUGGAAAGGCUGAUUUCGACCGCCAAGCGCCAGUCCAACGUGGGCCAGAGAAACCGAGACCUCCUUCACUGUGCUAGAAAUGGUGGUUUAUACACACCAACCAAUUUGGGCAGACUGUCAGCAGCUACUUGAGAGAAUCAGACAGGAAGCCCAGAAGCUGGUCUUAGGGGAAGACAGGAAGCCAGCCAGUGACCCUGCACUGGUUGAGAAAGCUUUUUUUCUGGGCAACCAGAUUGGAAGCCACUACAAGGAACAACCUGACCACAGGUUGCACUGCCUGUAUCAGAUGCUGGACUUCUCCUCCUUUCGAGAUGCCUUCUGGUCUGCAUUUGGGUUACUACAGGAGAAAGGACUACCUGGCCUAGCACAUUCUACCAACAGAAGCAAGAAAUAAAAAACAUUUGCCAAAACAAGAUAAAGAAGCAGGUCACAGUGACAUAAAGUCUCAACAAAUGCGGGUGAAAUGAGAGGAUCACUGUGUUCUUUAAAAUUCCAGAUUUGUGUGUAAGGCUGGAAACUUGUUUACUUCUGUGUUUUAUUGGAUGCAACCUAAAAGAAUUAUAAU
rnacentral:lncRNA from 1 species